rnacentral:rRNA from 1 species
UGGCACUGGGCGGCGUGCUUACACAUGCAGUCGAGCGGUAAGGCCCUUCGGGGUACACGAGCGGCGAACGGGUGAGUAACACGUGAGCAACCUGCCCCUGACUCCGGGAUAAGCGGUGGAAACGCCGUCUAAUACCGGAUACGACCUGUCACCUCAUGGUGGCGGGUGGAAAGUUUUUCGGUCGGGGAUGGGCUCGCGGCCUAUCAGCUAGUUGGUGGGGUAAAGGCCUACCAAGGCGAUUACGGGUAGCCGGCCUGAGAGGGCGACCGGCCACACUGGGACUGAGACACGGCCCAGACUCCUGCGGGAGGCAGCAGUGGGGAAUAUUGCGCAAUGGGCGAAAGCCUGACGCAGCGACGCCGCGUGGGGGAUGACGGCCUUCGGGUUGUAAACCUCUUUUACCACCAACGCAGGCUCCCAGUUCUCUGGGGGUUGACGGUAGGUGGGGAAUAAGGACCGGCUAACUACGUGCCAGCAGCCGCGGUAAUACGUAGGGUCCGAGCGUUGUCCGGAAUUAUUGGGCGUAAAGAGCUCGUAGGCGGCGUGUCGCGUCUGCUGUGAAAGACCGGGGCUUAACUCCGGUUCUGCAGUGGAUACGGGCAUGCUAGAGGUAGGUAGGGGAGACUGGAAUUCCUGGUGUAGCGGUGAAAUGCGCAGAUAUCAGGAGGAACACCGGUGGCGAAGGCGGGUCUCUGGGCCUUACCUGACGCUGAGGAGCGAAAGCAUGGGGAGCGAACAGGAUUAGAUACCCUGGUAGUCCAUGCCGUAAACGUUGGGCGCUAGGUGUGGGGACUUUCCACGGUUUCCGCGCCGUAGCUAACGCAUUAAGCGCCCCGCCUGGGGAGUACGGCCGCAGGCUAAAACUCAAAGGAUUGACGGGGGCCCGCACAAGCGGCGGAGCAUGUUGCUUAUUUCGACGCAACGCGAAGAACCUUACCAAGUUUGACAUCACCCGUUGGACCUGCAGAGAUGUGGGUCAUUUAGUUGUGGGUGACAGUGGUGCAUUGCUGUCGUCAGCUCGUGUCGUGAGAUGUUGGCUAAGUCCCACACCAGCGCACCCUUAUUCAUGUUGCAACACGUAUGAUGGAACUCAUGGAGAACUUGCGGGAUCAACCGGAGACGUGGACAACCUUCAGUCUCAUAGCCCUUAGUCUGGGCCGUAAACUAAGUCUACU